UACGGGGGGAGCAAGGCGUUGUUCGGAUUUACUGGGCGUAAAGGGCGCGUAGGAGCGGUCAGCACAAGUCAGUUGUGAAAUCUCCGGGCUUAACUCGGAAAGGUCAACUGAUACUGUGCGACUAGAGUGCAGAAGGGGCAACUGGAAUUCUUGGUGUAGCGGUGAAAUGCGUAGAUAUCAAAGAGGAACACCUGCGGCGAAGGCGGGUUGCUGGGCCGACACGUGACG
rnacentral:rRNA from 1 species